AUUGAACGCUGGCGGCAUGCCUUACACAUGCGAGUCGAACGGUAACAGGUCUUCGGAUGCUGACGAGUGGCGAACGGGUGAGUAAUACAUCGGAACGUGCCUAGUAGUGGGGGAUAACUACUCGAAAGAGUGGCUAAUACCGCAUGAGAUCUACGGAUGAAAGCAGGGGAUCGCAAGACCUUGUGCUACUAGAGCGGCCGAUGGCAGAUUAGGUAGUUGGUGGGAUAAAAGCUUACCAAGCCGACGAUCUGUAGCUGGUCUGAGAGGACGAUCAGCCACACUGGGACUGAGACACGGCCCAGACUCCUACGGGAGGCAGCAGUGGGGAAUUUUGGACAAUGGGCGCAAGCCUGAUCCAGCAAUGCCGCGUGCAGGAUGAAGGCCUUCGGGUUGUAAACUGCUUUUGUACGGAACGAAAAGCCCUGGGUUAAUACCCUGGGGUCAUGACGGUACCGUAAGAAUAAGCACCGGCUAACUACGUGCCAGCCGCCGCCGUAAGAC
rnacentral:rRNA from 1 species